AGGGAAAGGUGAAAAGUACUCCAGCGAGGAGAGUGAAAUAGAACCUGAAACCAUUAGCUUACAAUCAUUCAGAGCCCUAUGAUUUAUCAGGGUGAUGGACUGCCUUUUGCAUAAUGAGCCUGCGAGUUGUGGUAUCUGGCAAGGUUAAGUCAAGUACGAAGCCGUAGCGAAAGCGAGUCUUAAUAGGGCGAAUUAGUCAGAUGCUGCAGACCCGAAACGAAGUGAUCUAUCCAUGAGCAGGUUGAAGCUGGUGUAAGAGCCAGUGGAGGACCGAACCCGCAGGCGUUGAAAAGUCUUGGGAUGACUUGUGGAUAGGGGUGAAAGGCCAAUCAAACUUCGUGAUAGCUGGUUCUCUCCGAAAUAUAUUUAGGUAUAGCCUUGUGUUGUAGCAUAUGGGGGUAGAGCACUGAAUGGGCUAGGGCUGCUUACCGCGGUACCAAACCCUAUCAAACUAUGAAUACUAUAUGUGGAAUCACAGGAGUCAGGCGGUGGGUGAUAAAAUCAAUCGUCGAGAGGGGAACAACCCAGACUAACAGCUAAGGUCCCUAAGUUACAUCUAAGUGGAAAACGAUGUGGAGUUACUGUGACAACCAGGAGGUUGGCUUAGAAGCAGCCAUCCUUUAAAGAAAGCGUAACAGCUCACUGGUCUAGUGAUUCUGCGCGGAAAAUAUAACGGGGCUAAGAUGUACACCGAAGCUUUAGAUUCAAUUUUUAAUUGAGUGGUAGGAGAGCGUUCUAUUCAGCGUAGAAGAUGUACCGGUAAGGAGCGUUGGAGCGGAUAGAAGUGAGCAUGCAGGCAUGAGUAGCGAUAAUUGAGGUGAGAAUCCUCAACGCCGAAAACCCAAGGUUUCCUACGCGAUGCUCGUCAUCGUAGGGUUAGUCGGGACCUAAGUCGAGUCCGAAAGGGGUAGACGAUGGCAAAUUGAUUAAUAUUUCAAUACCAACAUAUAAGCGCGAUGUGGGGACGCAUAGAGUUAAUCGAGGUCACUGAUGGAAUAGUGGCUCGAAGGACGUAGGCUGUUAAGUAGGCAAAUCCGCUUAACAUUAGGCCGAGAUCUUACAGGCUCUUGACACUCUUCGGAGGAGAUGGAGAAUCGAUGAUACUGUCGUGCCAAGAAAAGCCACUAAGUUUAUUAUAUGUUGCCCGUACCGUAAACCGACACAGGUGGGUGGGAUGAGUAUUCUAAGGCGCGUGGAAGAACCCUGGUUAAGGAACUCUGCAAACUAGCACCGUAUCUUCGGUAUAAGGUGUGCCUACUUUUGUAUAUGAACUUGCUUCAAAAAGCGAAAGAGGUUGCAACAAAGAGUCCCUCCCGACUGUUUACCAAAAACACAGCACUUUGCUAACACGUAAGUGGAUGUAUAAGGUGUGACGCCUGCCCGGUGCUCGAAGGUUAACUGAUGAUGUCAGCGCAAGCGAAGCAUUUGAUUGAAGCCCGAGUAAACGGCGGCCGUAACUAUAACGGUCCUAAGGUAGCGAAAUUCCUUGUCGGUUAAAUACCGACCUGCAUGAAUGGCGUAACGAGAUGGGAGCUGUCUCAACCAGGGAUCCAGUGAAAUUGUAGUGGAGGUGAAAAUUCCUCCUACCCGCGGAAAGACGGAAAGACCCCGUGCACCUUUACUACAGCUUGACACUGUAGCUUGGAUAUUCAUGUGCAGGAUAGGUGGGAGGCUAUGAUGACUAGACGCCAGUAGAGUCGGAGCCAUCCUUGAGAUACCACCCUUGAAUAUUUGAGUUACUAACUGCGUACAAUUAUCUUGUAUCAGGACAAUGUCUGGUGGGUAGUUUGACUGGGGCGGUCGCCUCCUAAAAAGUAACGGAGGCUUACAAAGGUUAGU
rnacentral:rRNA from 1 species